CCCUUAGAUGUUCUGGGCUGCACGCGCGCUACACUGACGCACGCAACAGGUGCCUGCUCCGAGAGGACUGGGUAAUCAUUUGAGUGUGCGUCGUGAUGGGGAUAGAAUAUUGUAAUUAUUACUCUUCAACGAGGAAUUCCUAGUAAGCGCCAGUCAGCAGCUUGCGCUGAUUACGUCCCUGCCCUUUGUACACACCGCCCGUCGCUCCUACCGAUGGGUGAUCCGGUGAAGGAUUCGGACUUCAGCGGCUCCCCUGGGGUGCGCCGGAGAAAGUUUUGUGAACCUUAUCACUUGGAGGAAGGAGAAGUCGUAACA
rnacentral:rRNA from 1 species